GUGAGUCAUCGAAUCUUUGAACGCACAUUGCGCCCGCCAGUAUUCUGGCGGGCAUGCCUGUUCGAGCGUCAUUUCAACCCUCAAGCCCCAGCGGUUUGGUGUUGGGGACCGGCGAGUACGGAGGCGGGGGGGACUUGUCCCCUCUUCCCUCGGCGCCGCCCCCGAAAUGAAUUGGCGGUCUCGUCGCGGCCUCCUCUGCGUAGUAGCACAACCUCGCAUCAGGAGCGCGGCGCGGCCACUGCCGUAAAACGCCCAACUUUUUUAAGAGUUGACCUCGAAUCAGGUAGGAAUACCCGCUGAACUUAAGCAUAUCAAUAAGCGGAGGA
rnacentral:misc_RNA from 1 species